rnacentral:lncRNA from 1 species
CUUCCCCGCCCCGAGCCGACGCGCCGGGAGGCGGCGGCCCUGGUGGCUGCUGCUGCUGCUGCUGCUGCAGUGGGGCAGGUGGCGGUGGCUGACAGACGGCGGCGUCCGAGGCGGUGAGCGGCGUGGCGGGCCUGGCCCCUUCCUCACCCUCCGCCCUUCCCGCUCCCGCGGCCGCUCGAGCGCCCCGAGCCUCGCGCGCCGGCCCGAGCCCUCUGCAGCGGACCCGGAACCCGCGGUGGCCGACGCUGAGGCCAGGGUCCCCGAGGUUAAGACCGUGUCUGGCCCAUUUGGAGCUCUGUAAGUAUCUGUGCUGUGCCUGCUGCUGCUUUUAUGGUUAUUAUUCUGGGAUUUUAUUAUUGCUACUGUGACCAAUAGGGGCUCUGAGUCAGGAGAGUGGUGUGUUUGACUUCUGGUUUUAAUGAUGACCUUUUGCAAGAAUUUGUAGGUAUGUUGUGCCCUCAGCUUUGAGGCAUUUUUUUCUUCCCCCUCUGGGAAUAAUAACAAUUAACGUUUAUUGAGGGCUUCCUGGGGCUAGGCUCAGGGCAGGUGUUGUAUGUGUUUUAUCUCAUUUAUCAACCCAGCCCAAUGACAGUGCUGUCAUUAUUCCCAUUUUACAGAGAGGGCAUAGAAAGGUCAAGUAACUUUAGAGUCCCGCAGCUAAUAAGUGAUGUUGGUAGAAUUGGUACCCAGGUCUUCUGAUGCUAGGUGUUCAGUGAUUUUGUUAGUAUGGUGAAUUUCUGGCAAAAAGAAAGGCUGGCUUUUACUAAAACAAAGGAAGUGAGGGCUUGGUCAAGGGCUUAUGCUCAGUUUUUGAGGUUCAGAGAAAGGGGUUAAGCACAUCUUAGGCUUCCUAGUAGGCUUAGUGUAGAGGGGUGAAAACUAAAGCUGAAACUGGGUGUGAGGCUGCAUAGGUGUCUGUGAGGAUCAGGAUUAUGUCCUUCUGUACUCUUGCAGUCAUCUCAUGAGCUCACCGUGAGCCCCCUGGUUCCUGUGUUACCAACUUUAGUGUUUGAUUGAUGCUUAUCUUAUUUACCUUUUUGUUUUGGUGGUACUGGGAUUUGAACUCAGGAACUCAGUGCUUGUUGGGCAGGUGCUUUACCACUUGAGCCAUUCUGCCAGCCCUUUCCUUGUUAAUUUUAACCAUUAUGUAUCACUGAGUUUGUCAUAUAGAAGGAUGACCCAUAAUGUAUGUGGGUCUUGGUUUUGCU